rnacentral:rRNA from 1 species
AGUGAACGCUGGCGGUAGGCCUAACACAUGCAAGUCGAACGGCAGCACAGUAAGAGCUUGCUCUUACGGGUGGCGAGUGGCGGACGGGUGAGGAAUACAUCGAAAUCUACUUUUUCGUGGGGGAUAACGUAGGGAAACUUACGCUAAUACCGCAUACGACCUACGGGUGAAAGCAGGGGAUCUUCGGACCUUGCGCGAUUGAAUGAGCCGAUGUCGGAUUAGCUAGUUGGCGGGGUAAAGGCCCACCAAGGCGACGAUCCGUAGCUGGUCUGAGAGGAUGAUCAGCCACACUGGAACUGAGACACGGUCCAGACUCCUACGGGAGGCAGCAGUGGGGAAUAUUGGACAAAGGGCGCAAGCCUGAUCCAGCCAUACCGCGUGGGUGAAAAAGGCCUUCGGGUUGUAAAGCCCUUUUGUUGGGAAAGAAAGGCAGCAGGUUAAUACCCCGCUGUUCUGACGGUACCCAAAGAAUAAGCACCGGCUAACUUCGUG